CCUACGGGAGGCAGCAGUGGGGAAUAUUGGACAAUGGGCGCAAGCCUGAUCCAGCCAUACCGCGUGUGUGAAGAAGGCCUUUUGGUUGUAAAGCACUUUAAGCGAGGAGGAGGCUCUUGAGGAUAAUACCCCUUGAUGAGUGGACGUUACUCGCAGAAUAAGCACCGGCUAACUCUGUGCCAGCAGCCGCGGUAAUACAGAGGGUGCGAGCGUUAAUCGGAAUUACUGGGCGUAAAGCGCGCGUAGGCGGCUUGUUAAGUCGGAUGUGAAAUCCCCGGGGCUCAACCUGGGCACUGCAUUCGAUACUGGCAAGCUAGAGUAUGGGAGAGGAAGGUAGAAUUCCAGGUGUAGCGGUGAAAUGCGUAGAGAUCUGGAGGAUACCGAUGGCGAAGGCAGCCUUCUGGCCCUAAUACUGACGCUGAGGUGCGAAAGCAUGGGGANCAAACAGGAUUAGAUACCCUGGUAGUCCAUGCCGUAAACGAUGUCAACUAGCCGUUGGGGACCCUUGAGUCCUUUAGGNGCGNGAGCUAACGNGAUUAGUUGACCGCCGUUGGGGUAGGUUACGGUUCGGCGAGAACGUUAAACGUUACGAAGAGUUAGAGGAGNGAGGAGAGCGACGGACGACGACGAGGAGGAGGNG
rnacentral:rRNA from 1 species